GCUCAGGACGAACGCUGGCGGCGUGCUUAACACAUGCAAGUCGAACGAUGAAGCCCUUCGGGGUGGAUUAGUGGCGAACGGGUGAGUAACACGUGGGCAAUCUGCCCUUCACUCUGGGACAAGCCCUGGAAACGGGGUCUAAUACCGGAUAACACUCUGUCCCGCAUGGGACGGGGUUAAAAGCUCCGGCGGUGAAGGAUGAGCCCGCGGCCUAUCAGCUUGUUGGUGGGGUAAUGGCCUACCAAGGCGACGACGGGUAGCCGGCCUGAGAGGGCGACCGGCCACACUGGGACUGAGACACGGCCCAGACUCCUACGGGAGGCAGCAGUGGGGAAUAUUGCACAAUGGGCGAAAGCCUGAUGCAGCGACGCCGCGUGAGGGAUGACGGCCUUCGGGUUGUAAACCUCUUUCAGCAGGGAAGAAGCGAAAGUCACGGUACCUGCAGAAGAAGCGCCGGCUAACUACGUGCCAGCAGCCGCGGUAAUACGUAGGGCGCAAGCGUUGUCCGGAAUUAUUGGGCGUAAAGAGCUCGUAGGCGGCUUGUCACGUCGGAUGUGAAAGCCCGGGGCUUAACCCCGGGUCUGCAUUCGAUACGGGCUAGCUAGAGUGUGGUAGGGGAGAUCGGAAUUCCUGGUGUAGCGGUGAAAUGCGCAGAUAUCAGGAGCAACACCGGCGGCGAAGGCG
rnacentral:rRNA from 1 species